GAUGCAAGCUGCUCACCUCCUGACAGCUGGAAGCAGAGAGAAGAAAAGGAGUCAAAGAGGAAGGCGUCAAGGACCAGAUACAGUUUCCAAGGUCGUAACUCCAUGACCCACGUCCUCCAACUCAGGCCCUGGUCCUCAUUGCCCAUUGAGGUAUGGAUUAACCUGUGGGUGAAGCGAGUACCCCUACAACUGUACCACCUCACCAGGUGUUGCUCAGUCUGGUCAAAUUGACUAUCAAGAUGAACUGACACAAUUCUAAACUGAAAAUCUACAGAUGGAUGGAGACAACACCGGCCCUCCCAGGAUCAACUUUGCAUCUGACAGAGGGGAGAGUCAAGACACAAAGCUAUUCAAUCAUUACUGCUCUUCAACAAAGUAUCUGGCAUGGAGUAGAAAGUCAAUAAAUGGAGUGGGUAAAUAAAUGAAGAAAGUAAGGGACAGCUGAACCGAAAUUACCAAAUUGUGGCUCUAGAUGCUGAGAUAAAUGAACUUGCUUAUGCCUGAGAAAUGGAAAUGACCACAGACUACCAGUCUAGAAGAAUGCUGACAUUGCCUGCUGCUCCUGUGGCCACCACUUCCCCCAUCCACUCAAGCCAUGUCCAUCAGCACUACUGACCUCACCAGCCAGAUGGGGCCGGCGGAAGCUAUCGCUUCUCCAGUGGCUGUCUGAACCGUCUUGGAUUUAAUGGUCCCCGAGAGGACCUCAAUCAAUGAAAGAUAAGGAAAUAGCUCAUAAAUUGUGUGUUUCUUUCUUUAUGAAUUCUAGGAAUUGCCCUUUUGGAGAUAUUAUUUG